rnacentral:lncRNA from 1 species
AGAGGACGGCAGAUCAAGAGCAUCUCAUCCUCCGGCUGCUGAGUCAUCCUGCUCUGGCAGUUAUUUAAACAGAAGGCUCCAGGAGACAUACAAUCAACACUCCACUCAGACAAUGCCCAGACCUCCAGAAACCAUGUGUCAAGCUCGGAUUGCCUUAGACAGAAGCUCACCCAGCUGGAACUCUUAUGGGACCUUGGCACCAGAGACCACAAAUUCCUCUUUGAAGUUUUCUAACAGCAACAAUGGUAUUUCUGACUUGGCUUUCUUGUAUUUCUCUCACGUUAACAAAAUUGGUUCAGCAUCUACCAUGGGCUACAUGCUGAGCUACAGAGUUUCGCUCUGUCGCCCAGGCUGGAGUGCAGUGGCGCGCGAUCUCGGUUCACUGCAAGCUCCACCUCCCGGGUUCACGCCAUUCUCCUGCCUCAGCCUCCUGAGUAGCUGGGACUACAGGCGCCCGCCACCACACCCAGGAAUCCAACUUGCUGUUUGCUAUCACAUGUGCUAUACAUGCUGUUGAUGAAACUGCUAAAGGGGCUGAAUGUGACUGACGUCUUUGGAAGGAUGAGACUUAGCGUGCCUGUACAGUUGUGUCCAAAUGCUGUCCUCAUCUCCCAAUGAAAAGGUAUUGUAAAUAAAGAGAAAGAUCAGAGGCUUAUUUUAAACACUAAAUAUGAGCUAGGAGCUGUCCUAGACACUAUGUAAAAGUUUUAUUUAGUUCUCACUGUAAUGUUGGCCUUAUGUUAGCAUCCCAUUUUUCAGACUGAGGAAAUUAUGGCUCAGAGAGGUUAAGAGACUUAUUGAAGGUCACACAGCUCCACAAACUUUGGUGUAGAUUGAACGUGUACAUGGGUCUAUGUGACUUUGAAUCUUGCAUUCUUUACAUUAUUGGAAUAUUUCACAGAAGGAAAAUGACAUAUUAACAUGGCAAUAAGAUUUCUGGUUCCAGUCUGGUUACUGGUCUUCCAAGAGUGUUAUAGGAUGUAUAGCCUGAGCUCUGAAGCUUUGUUCUGAAGCAUGCUAUCAAUAUGAACAAAUUGGUAUGGAAGGAAGCCACAAAUUAUAUACUAAAAUCUAGUUCAUCAGAGGAAAAUAUAGUUAAAUACAUUUACAUUCCCAGAACUGUUAAUAUUGAAGAAUAAAACACACAGUGGGAAAGAGACGAAGAGAAAAUACGCCUGUUUUUAUGACUUGUUGAUAUCUACAGGGUUUUUCCUUAAGCCUCACAACAAUUUACAGCAUUGCCAGCAGCAUUCAGUACAUUCAGAACAGGAUAAUUUCACCCGCAGCUGAACUAGGGCCAUGCCUGGGACAGACAGAGAAUGGCCUUCCAGCAGACAUGCCAAGAAGCAAGCCAGGGUCAGUGAGUGAAGAGGAGGGCAGGCCCAUUUGAAGCAACACAGUUUAUAUACAUGAAAAGAAAGAAGGAGAGAAGGAAGAAAGGAGGGCGGAAGGAAAGGAAGAAGGGAGAGAAGAAGAGAAGAAAGAAGCAGAGAAAGGAAGAGAAAAGAAAUUACGGCCAGUGCGGUGGCUCACGCCUGUAAUCCUAGCACUUUGGGAGGCCUAAGCGGGCUGAUCACCUGAGGUCAGGAGUUCGUAAGCCAGCCUGGCCAACAUGGUGAAACCCUAUCUCUACUAAAAAUACAAAAAUCAGCAGGGCAUGGUGGUGCGUGCCUGUAAUCCCAGCUACCUGGGAGGCUGAGGUAGGAGAAUCGCUGGAACCCGAGAGGCGGAGGCUGCAGUGAGUUGAGAUCAUGUCACUGCACUCCAGGCUGGGCAACAGAGUGAGACUCUGUCUCAGAAAAAAAAAAAAAGAAAGAAAGAAAGAAAGAAAGUUACCAUUAGUUUUUUGUUGUAUUUGCAAGCAAAGACAAAAGCACCAAGGUACUUGUUUCCUUCUGUAAUUAGAGUUUCAAAUAGACUAAAAGUUUCUGCUCUUAGGUGGGUCUAGAGACUCUCCAGUACCUCAGGACCUCAGGACACAUGGGGUCUCUUGGUUGUUUUCUUUUCAUUGUUGUUGUUUAUUUUAUUUUUGUUUUUAUUUUUUAACUUUAAAACAAUUUUUUGUAGAUGAAUAUGCUUACAUAUGUUUGGGGGUUUUUUUGAGACAGGGUCUUGCUCUGUUGCCCAGGCUGGAGAGCGGUGGUUUAACCACAGCUCACUGCAGCCUCGACCUCCCAAGGUAGGGACUGCAGGUGUGUACACUGGGGUGCACCACCACACCCAGCUAAUUUUUAAAUUUUUUUUUGUAGAUAUUGUCUCACUCUGUUGGCCAGACUGGUCUUGAAAUCCUGGGCUCGAGCAAUUCUCCUGCCUCGGCCUCGUAACGCGUUAGGAUUACAAGCGUGAACACCGCACCUGGCCAGCAUGUGGUCUCUUAACCAGAGGAGGCCUCUUCUGAACUAGAGAUAUUCACCUGGUUGUUUUGGCUUCUCUAAUCCUCCUGGUGAGAACACCUCCAAGGGAGCUUUCAGUGGCAUUUAAGGUCACUUGUGCUCUUGGUCCUAGAAACUGCCUUGAUAGUGGUUUUAGCUCACAUGAGAGCUGUGGCAAUUCCUUGAACCACACUGAUUGCUAUAAAGUGGAAGAGGAAUAGAUUGAAUUUUGGGGAGUCAACUACAAUGUGUACUACAGGUAAAUACUAUGAAUUUCCAAUUCACAGAUGAGAAAACUGAGGCAUGUGGUGGGAGGGAGGUUAUGUAAUUUGCCCAGUGUCACAGUUGAACCUAGGCAAAGGCCUAUCUCCAGGUCUAAACAAUUCAGUGGCCUCCUGUGUACAUUUCUGUCUCUCCUUUUUUAUCCACUGUGUCACCGAGGCUGGAUUGCAGUGGCUCGAUCAUGGAGAUCAUGGCUUUCUGUAGCCUUGAACUCCUGGGCUCAAGUGAUCCUCCUGCCUCAGCUUCCUGAGUGGCUGGGACUACAGGCUUGACAACACACCCGGCUAUCCCGUGUAUAUUUCUUGAGGGCUUAUGAUAUAUAAGAGAAACUCCAAAAUAAGAGGACGGUGUGCUAAGGGGAAGACCAAAGCACUAUCAAGAGGUAGAUUCAAUCGUACCCCUUCUAUUUACUAGUUGUGUGACUCUUUUGAAAAUGAGAAUAAUAGGCCAGGCUCGGUGGCUCCUGCCUGUAAUCCCAGCACUUUGGGAGGCUGAGGCAGGUAGAUCACCUGAGGUUAGAAGUUCAAGACCAGCCUAGCCAACAUGGCAAAACCCCAUCUCUAUUAAAAAUACAAAAAUUAGCCGGGAAUGGCAGCAUGUGCCUGUAGUUCCGGCUACUCAGGAGGCUGAGGCAGGAGAAUCACUUGAACCCAGGAGGCAGAGGUUGCAGUGAGCCGAGAUUGCGCUACUGCACUUCAGCCUGGGUGACAGCGAGACUCCAUCUCAAAAAAAAAAAAAAAGGAAGAAAAGAAAAGAAAAUGGGAAUAAUAAAACUUACUUACUGGAGCAGUAGCAAAGAUUAAAAUUUAGACCAUGCAGAAGAAUGUUUUUCAAAAUGACAUGACCUGGUAAUAGGAUAGAAAUGCAAAUUCCUGUUACUGCACCAGACCCACCAAAUAAGAAACUCUGGGGAUGGGACCCAGGACUAAGUACUUUAAUAAGCACUCCAGGUGAUUCUAAUGAUUGUUAAAGUUUGAGAACCACUGGUCUAACACAUUGCCUGGUACAUAAGCUCUUAUUUUGUUGUUAUUGUUCUAAGGACAAUGUGUGUAUUGACUUCUAUUUCCAGGAGUUCAUGACUUGGAGAACUAGGGAAAGGAAGACAAAAAUUCUUUAAUGCAGAACGAUACUGAUUGAUAAAUACCUGAAUAUAAUACAGGUUAAAUGUGCUUUGAAGAUUUAUAAAAGGUUGAAUUUAUUUCCAGCAAGAUGACUCUCAGAAGCCUUUAUAGAUUAGAGAAGAAAUGGAAAGGGGUAAAAAUAAUUAGGAACUAUAAAGCAGGGCAGACAAGUUUUCAAUGGUUACUGCCAAUGUGUAUACAGAAAGUUAGCUUGGCCAGGCAAAGUGGCUCAUGCUUGUAAUAUCAGCACUUUGGGAGGCCAAGGCGGGCAGGUCACCUGAGAUCAGGAGUUUGAGACCAGCCUGACCAACAUGGUGAAACUCUAUCUCUACUAAAAAUACACAAUUAGCCCAGCAUGGUAGAGCAUGCCUGUAAUCCCAGCUACUCAGGAGGCUGAGGCAGGAGAAUCGCUUGUACUUGGGAGGCAAAGGCUGCAGUGAGCUGAGAUCGUGCCAUUGCACUCCAUCCUGGGAAACAAGGGUGAAACUCCGUCUCCAGAAAAAAAAAAGUUACCUUGAAAUAUAUCAAUACAAACAAAUAAAUUAGAUAUUUCAUAUUGUACAGGAACAAAACCCAUCAGAAGAUGUCAGAAGAUAAGGAUUUUUGUCCUGAUGCUACACUUACCAGCUGUCCCUCAGUGUUCUACUUCUUAAAAAAAGAGAGAUGGAUAAACAGAGGCAACCCGAGGAUAAAGGCCUUGCUCAGUGUCACACAUUUCAGUCACUAAAUAAGACACAAUGGAUGCCAGUAUUCUCAUCCCCUCACAAAUAAAGAGCCUUCAAGCUCUUGCAGUCAACAAGAACUUUUGGAAUGAUUUCACUGCCUGAAAAGGCAGAUACAUAGGUGACACCCACAAAUAGGAAGAAAAUCAACCUGAACCUGAGUGUGUGGGCUCACUGACUCUAAGCAGUAGAGACAGAAGAAAAAGUUUUAGCAAAGAAGGGUUCUGAAAGAAAAUAAAUAUAGCUCGUUAUCAAGUGCUGUUUUUACACAGUAAAACAUGGGCAAAAUUACUCUUCUUUAAGUAGUAAUUCUUAUCUCUUGAUUAAGUCACCUACUCAUUCAUUUAAUAAAUACAUACUGAUUGUUUUCUAUGUGUUGAGCACUCAUCUCUGUAUUGGAAAUAUAAUAAUGACCAAAGUUGACAAUAGUAAUAACAAUAAUAGCUAAUAUAGCAGGCACUAAUAAUUAUUUGUUGAGUAAUAUGUCAAAAUUCAGUGUGAACAGCAUUCUAUUUGGGGCUGCAUCCACUGACUAUAACACAGCUAAUCUAUCUGAAAUGUUCCAGCUUUGGGCCUCUCUAACAGAAGAAGCUGUUGUUGGGCCUGCCUCUAGUUGGCGAUGCAUCCACCAAUGAGAAUGAAUUUAUGAUCGACCACUCUUCCUGUAAAGGCCGCUGGAACUGACAGCAUUGUGAUUUUCUUUUACUGUUAGUUUUAAAUUACUAGAACCAACUCAAUUACUAGAACGAACUUUACUUCUUUGUUUCCUACUUAUCAAAACAGUAAAAACAACAAGUAAAAGAAAUGCCAUCUUAAUAUUGUUUUGAUGACAAAACAGUAUUCCUUUUAGUUGUGCUUCAAAUGGAAUAAGAUGCAAACAGGCUUGGUAUGGUGGCUCACCCCUGUAAUCCCAGCCCUUUGGGAGGCCAAGGUGGAAGGAUUGCUUGAGGCCAUGAGUUUGAGACCAGCCUGCGCAACAUAGCAAGACCGUGUCUCUACAAAAAAUAAAAAAUUAGCUGAGUGUAGUGGUGUGUGCUUGUGGUCCCAGCUACUUUUGAGGCUGAGGAGGGAGAAUCUCUUGAGCCCAGAAGGUCGAAGUUGCAGUGAGCCGUGAUCGUGCCAUUGCUCUCCAGCUUGGACAACAAAGCAAGACCCUAUGUCAAAAAAUAAAUAAAUAAAAGACAUAAACAUAUCUGAGAUUAACUUUCAGUGGUAAAUUUGUUCCAUAUAUGAUUUUUAAGGUUAAAUGCUUUGGAAGCUUUAAAAACCAUUUCAGCCCUUUUAAAUGCCAACUUACACUGAUGAUGCUCUCAGAUGUUAGGAAAUCUUUUGAGCAGAAAAUGGAAGUGGGGGUGUUGAGGCAGGGAGGAGAGUGAUGCAAUAUUCCUUAGUGUCAUCCUGUGAUUUCACAAUUUGUUUUUCAAUCUGUUUGGACUUUCAAAAGGGAAGACUCUCAUAUGUCAACAAGCCCAUGAACUGAAGCUUAAAACACUGGAAACAACAACUGUAGAGUUUCAAGUAUAUGUACAUUUAUGUAUUCAUGUUCCUUGAUGGGAAUGCUGGCUGGUGUGAAUGUUCAAUCUCCUGAGAAAUGUAAAUUUUUCUCUGACAGAUUUAUUAGCUUGCUGUAUCUGAGCACAUGAGCAAAAACAAUGCCUAAUAAGAAAACUUUCUCUCUCCUUCAAAGUCAAACUUGGGAGAAAUGAAGGGAAAUCGAGUUUUCUUUGCUUGACAGUGUUCAACAUUCUUGUAGUCAGUGUGCUCAUGAAGAUUGCAAACUUUUUUUUUUUUUUAGAGCAGCUAGGACUACAGGCGCGCACCACCACACCCAGCUAAUUUGUGUAUUUUUAGUAGAGAUGGGGUUUUAACUAUGUUGGCCAAGCUUGUCUCAAACUCCUGACCUCAAGUGAUCCAUUCGACAGCUCUUUCUUUUUUUUUUUUUUUUUUGAGACAAAGUCUCGCUCUGUCACCCAGGCUGGAGUGCAGUGGUAUGAUCUCAGCUCACUGCAACCUCCGCCUCCUGGGUUCAAGCAAUUCUCAUGCCUUAGCCUCCCGAAU